rnacentral:rRNA from 1 species
UACAGAGGUCUCAAGCGUUGUUCGGAUUCAUUGGGCGUAAAGGGUGCGUAGGCGGCGCGGUAAGUCGGGUGUUGAAAUCUUGGAGCUUAACUCCGAAACUGCAUUCGAUACUGCCGUGCUUGAGGACUGGAGAGGAGACUGGAAUUUACGGUGUAGCGGUGAAAUGCGUAGAUAUCGUAAGGAAGACCAGUGGCGAAGGCGGGUCUCUGGACAGUUCCUGACGCUGAGGAG